GAAAAUAAUUAUUGCAAUAUUAAGACAGGACGAGGGUUUUAUGAGUUUACAAAACCAGAAAAGAUUUCUGAAAAGAAAACAGUUGUUCUGGUAGAUAAAUCAACAGGAGAUAUGUUUACAGGACAAGAAGCCUUCAACAUGAUUGGAGCUGGUGGAAGUUCUAAGGUAAAGCCUGCAGUGCUGGAUCAAUGGAGAGUAUUUGUUCAGAGCACCAGUUAUAACAGAAUACUAGUUGGAGGAACAGGAUUCCUCUACGAAGUUGAUCCUGACUUCUAGUAAUCAUAAUUGCAGAGAUCCAUAUAAAUAUAAGGGAGUCGACUUUAAAGCGACGCAUUUCCGUUUUGUUUUUUGUUUUGUAGCCCUGAAUAUUUAUACAUUUUAAAACCGAGGACGAUUUUUCUGGUUCCCGUUUGAAAGGAGUAAUUGAGAAAAAUUAUCAGCAAAAUUUAGAGUGAGAGAACGCAAAAUGUUGUUCACAUGAUGCAUAAAGGACAUCCAUUCGUUUUUUAAAUACAAGAUCACUAAAAGUUGUUUUGAAUGAAAAAAAUCAAAUUAUAAUCGUGUGUUCGAAAAAAAUAAGAUGCGUCUUGGUAUUGGUUUUCUUAAUAUUAUGAAAGUACUUUUGUUUUGUGUUUGAUUUUGUUCCUAAUCAGUGGAAAUUGUUGAAAUAAAUUGUUGUCAAAAAUUA